rnacentral:ncRNA from 2 species
AUCUUUGCACCGACUUUAGGUUGUGCUGAUUUUUUUGAUCAUCACAUUAAAAGGGAAUCAGGUUAAACACCUGAGCUGUUCCCGCAACUGUAAGCUUAUCUCAAAAAGAGAGGUUGUUGUUAAACUUCAUGCCACUGUGGUAACACGGGAAGGUAAACAACAGUACGCAAGCCAGGAGACCUGCCUUUAGUAUAACAAAUGU